rnacentral:lncRNA from 1 species
UGGCAGGUCAUGGAUGAAUUGUCAAAUCUCAUCAUCGAUCAUAUGAUAGAUUCAAUUAGCUCGAGUCCAUGCAUUAUUUUUAUGAAAACUCUUUUCUAUCAAUCACACUGCUAUGGUCAUAGACAUAAAGACUCAGCUUCUUAAAUCCCAUAAAACUACUCCCUUCUACUAGGGUCGAUAGAUCCUAUCUAAGUCUACAUCCUACUCUUACAGUGGAUCAACUAUCGCCAACAUCCACUAUAAAG